AUACCAAGGGUCGAGAGACGACGGUGCGAUGCAAGCUCGCUUGCGGGAGCAUCCGGAGAUUCGAGAGCCGUACCACAUGAGUAAGGAGCCAUUUUUCGCGGAAAAAUGAGCGGAUUACGAAUGCGGUCCAGAUUGUGAGAGUGCGAAGCACGGAACAAUCUGGAUGG
rnacentral:sRNA from 1 species